CACGUAGGAGGCGAGCGUUGUCCGGAAUUAUUGGGCGUAACGAGCUCGUAGGCGGUUUGUCGCGUCUGCUGUGAAAACCUAAGGCUCAACCUUGGGCUUGCAGUGGGUACGGGCAGACUAGAGUGCGGUAGGGGUGACUGGAAUUCCUGGUGUAGCGGUGGAAUGCGCAGAUAUCAGGAGGAACACCGAUGGCGAAGGCAGGUCACUGGGCCGCAACUGACGCUGAGAAGCGAAAGCAUGGGGAGCGAACAGG
rnacentral:rRNA from 1 species